rnacentral:rRNA from 1 species
GACGAGCGCUGGCGGCGUGCCUAAUACAUGCAAGUCGAGCGAAGUUUUUCUGGUGCUUGCACUAGAAAAACUUAGCGGCGAACGGGUGAGUAACACGUAAAGAACCUGCCUCAUAGACUGGGACAACUAUUGGAAACGAUAGCUAAUACCGGAUAACAGCAUUAACUGCAUGGUUGAUGUUUAAAAGUUGGUUUUGCUAACACUAUGAGAUGGCUUUGCGGUGCAUUAGCUAGUUGGUGGGGUAAAGGCCUACCAAGGCGACGAUGCAUAGCCGACCUGAGAGGGUGAUCGGCCACACUGGGACUGAGACACGGCCCAGACUCCUACGGGAGGCAGCAGUAGGGAAUCUUCCGCAAUGGGCGAAAGCCUGACGGAGCAACGCCGCGUGAGUGAAGAAGGAUUUCGGUUCGUAAAGCUCUGUUGUUAGGGAAGAAUGAUUGUGUAGUAACUAUACACAGUAGAGACGGUACCUAACCAGAAAGCCACGGCUAACUACGUG